ensembl:lncRNA
AUCGGGCAGAGCCUCAGGGACCCCUGGGCCGGCGGAGAGGGGAGGGGAUAGGGGGAUGGGUGCUAGAGUUGCGCACCAGCCCCCGACCGUCCCCGGUGUCUGCGGCGGGCCCGGCCCCAGCGUGCACUCGCGGGACCGCGGCGGCGGCGGCGGGGAGGCUGCGCGCCGAGCGCAAGCCGCGAGCACAAACAGGGCGAGGAGGCUGGUGUGAGCGCCUGGGCCGGGUGCCAGCGCGCCGGGGCUGGAACACAAUGUCCCGAGCGGGCGGGCGGGCGAACGGGGAGCGAGAACAGCCUGACUCAGCAGCUGGUAUCCCAGGCCAAUGUUCUGAAGCUGUUUGCAUACCCACAGUGACGAGGACACUCUUUUACGAGGCAGCCACAACUCUUUAGGAUGUCCCUGUGUCCAAGUCCAAUCGCCUAGAGGAUACCUGCCCUCACAUGGCCCAGGAGGGACGGAACUCACCCUCAGGUCCCUCACACCAGCUCCUCCUCCUUGCCUGCAGUAACCUUCCUACUGCCCAAACUCACCAUGAAGGAGGAUUAAUUCUUAACUCUUGGGCCUUCCCUGAUGGACCUGGUUACGAAUCUGUCUUGCAAUCCAAGGGAUGCCAGUUCGAUCCCUGGUCUGGAAAGAUCCCACAUGCAAUGGAGCAACAAAGUCUGUGUACCACAACUGCUGACCCCACACUUAAGAGCCCUUGAGCCACAACUACUAAAGCCCGUGCACCCAGAGCCCAUGUGCUCUAUAGCAAGAGAAGCCACUGCAAUGAGAAACCCGUGCACUGCAACUAGAGAGCAGCCCCCACUGGCUGCAUCUCGAGAAAGCCUGUGUUCAGCAAUGAAGACCCAGUGCAGGCAAAAAUAAAAAUCUAAAAAAAAAUUAACUUAAAAAUUUCUUAACUGUUUUCUCUCCUUCACCAUCUAUUACCAAAUUCUUCCCACUCCUGCUUUUAUUACAAGGUGUAUUGUUACUUUCCUCACGCCUUCCUUUCCAAUACCAUAGAUUCCACCUUUGGCCCAAAUUCCCACAGUCACUGCCACACUGUCCU